rnacentral:rRNA from 1 species
UACGGAGGGUGCAAGCGUUAAUCGGAAUUACUGGGCGUAAAGCGUGCGUAGACGGUUAUGUAAGUCAGGUGUGAAAGCCCCGGGCUCAACCUGGGAAUGGCAUUUGAGACUGCAUAGCUAGGGUGCGGAAGAGGGAAGCGGAAUUUCCGGUGUAGCGGUGAAAUGCGUAGAUAUCGGAAGGAACGCCGGUGGCGAAAGCGGCGGACUGGACCUCUUCUGACGCUGAGGCGCGAAAGCCAGGGGAGCAAACGGG